rnacentral:rRNA from 1 species
AACGCGAAGAACCUUACCUACUCUUGACAUCCAGAGAACUUAGCAGAGAUGCUUUGGUGCCUUCGGGAACUCUGAGACAGGUGCUGCAUGGCUGUCGUCAGCUCGUGUUGUGAAAUGUUGGGUUAAGUCCCGCAACGAGCGCAACCCUUAUCCUUUGUUGCCAGCGGUCCGGCCGGGAACUCAAAGGAGACUGCCAGUGAUAAACUGGAGGAAGGUGGGGAUGACGUCAAGUCAUCAUGGCCCUUACGAGUAGGGCUACACACGUGCUACAAUGGCGCAUACAAAGAGAAGCGACCUCGCGAGAGCAAGCGGACCUCAUAAAGUAUGUCGUAGUCCGGAUUGGAGUCUGCAACUCGACUCCAUGAAGUCGGAAUCGCUAGUAAUCGUGGAUCAGAAUGCCACGGUGAAUACGUUCCCGGGUCUUGUACACACCG